rnacentral:lncRNA from 1 species
GUGUUAGAAGUCUAACUGUAAUAGAAGUCUAGUCUAAACUGUAUUAGGAGUAGGCUAGGUUAUGUGUAUUAUAUAUAGAGCUCAUUGUAUCAUGUUUAUAUAUCAAUUAUAUAUUCUUCUCCCGUGCCUUCUCACAUGGUAUCAGAGUUUUGGUGAGAAUAGUAUAGCUGUGCAUCAUUCCAGCUACUUCCGGGAAGAAGACCUCGUCGCC